AUUGAACGCUGGCGGCGUGCCUAACACAUGCAAGUCGAGCGGUAACAGGUGUAGCAAUACAUGCUGACGAGCGGCGGACGGGUGAGUAACGCUUGGGAAUCUGCCUGUUAGUGGGGGACAACCCGGGGAAACUCGGGCUAAUACCGCAUACGCACUACGGUGGAAAGCCGGGGACCGCAAGGCCUGGCGCUAACAGAUGAGCCCAAGUCGGAUUAGCUAGUUGGUAGGGUAACGGCCUACCAAGGCGACGAUCCGUAACUGGUCUGAGAGGACGACCAGUCACACCGGAACUGAGACACGGUCCGGACUCCUACGGGAGGCAGCAGUGGGGAAUAUUGGACAAUGGGCGAAAGCCUGAUCCAGCGACGCCGCGUGGGUGAAGAAGGCCUGCGGGUUGUAAAGCCCUUUCGGUGGGGAAGAAAAGCCUCGAGUUAACACCUCGGGGUCUUGACGUAGCCCAUAGAAGAAGCACCGGCUAACUCUGUGC
rnacentral:rRNA from 1 species